GAUGAACGCUGGCGGCGUGCCUAAUACAUGCAAGUCGAGCGAACAGACGAGGAGCUUGCUCCUCUGACGUUAGCGGCGGACGGGUGAGUAACACGUGGUAACCUACCUAUAAGACUGGGAUUACUUCGGGAAACCGGAGCUAAUACCGGAUAAUAUAUUGAACCGCCUGGGUCAAUAGUGAAAGACGGUUUUGCUGUCACUUAUAGAUGGAUCCGCGCCGCAUUAGCUAGUUGGUAAGGUAACGGCUUACCAAGGCAACGAUGCGUAGCCGACCUGAGAGGGUGAUCGGCCACACUGGAACUGAGACACGGUCCAGACUCCUACGGGAGGCAGCAGUAGGGAAUCUUCCGCAAUGGGCGAAAGCCUGACGGAGCAACGCCGCGUGAGUGAUGAAGGUCUUCGGAUCGUAAAACUCUGUUAUUAGGGAAGAACAAAUGUGUAAGUAACUAUGCACGUCUUGACGGUACCUAAUCAGAAAGCCACGGCUAACUACGUG
rnacentral:rRNA from 1 species